rnacentral:lncRNA from 1 species
UACUGAGCCAAAGCUUUAUUGUUUCCAGUACUAAUACACUACAUAAAAGUUGUAAGGGAUGGAGACAAGAACAACAAAGUAAUAAAAGAAACACAAAUGACAAGAGCAGACUAAGCACUAUUCGCUGAGCCCUUCUUGUCCACCUUGAGCCAACUCAAAAGGCUGACAAAUGGUACAGGUUUAGGAUAAUAUUCCAAUGAAAGCUACAAAACACAACUAAGACAGACGCGACGAAGGGAAAAGCGGUCUUUAAUAGAAAAUAUGAGCUACGGCUGUUCCUCCAUCACAUUCAGAUGUGGCUAGAUCACAUUCUCCUGGGCUAUCUCCUUCCCUCAAUCCACAAGAAGUUUUUCCAUAGACGACUGAACAGUUCUGGUUUGAACUCAAGUGGGACUACUUCAUGGAGGUAAAAUAUAGAGGUAAGAAGUUUCCAGUCUCACUGGUACAAAAGCAGUCCCAGAUUUAUCUCUGACACUGUUUAUAUAAAACCUAGUCUCAGUUAAAACUCAAACCCAUGCCUCAAAGCAGCACAGUAAGCCAGCAAGGAUUACCAGGUUCCUGUGCAGAGCCGGCAACCCACAGUGUGGUAAACGCUGUGGGAAGUGAGAGUAGGAGUGAAAACACAGCAGACCUGCCUGCACUGCCCAGGAAUGAAGCACAAGAAGAGUUAGAAAUGACAUGCUCUGGUUUAAAAACUCUUUCCAACUCAGUGUAGUUUUUUUAUGAGAAAGUAACAGGUUUAAAGAAAAUUGAGUCAAUUUUUAAGUGUCUUUUUCCUUCUCCUUCUUCUAUAGAACUAACUUAGGCUGUCAGGCCAGACUGUCUUGAGGCACUGCAGUAAUGACAGUGUAAGCAAGACAGCCUCAGUAGGACUGUCAAAAGCUCCAAGGCAAAACAGGACUUAUUUUGCUGGCAAAACACUUCUGAAAUUGAAGACCCUACAGCUCGCAGAAGAAACAGUAUAACUUCAGCUCUGAAAUCAUACCAACAUUGCAGCAAAAGCUGACUUUUGGAUUCACUUUUUCAGAAAUAAUAAUAAUUUUGGCAUCACCCCUUUCAGAGAUGCCACUGGUUGAGUCUCAAUGGCCAGGUUUAAACAACACAGACCACAACAUAAAGCAUCCCUCAGUGGAGUACAACCUCAUCCCUUGCUCUCUUCAACACCAACGUUGUGAAGCCUACGUUAUGUGGUUUCUCUUUAUGCCAUCUCAAAAAGCCCACAUCAUCCAAAGUUUUGUUUUCAUUUUUCAAAGGGCAGAAACAGAUCACAGAGGAAGAGCUGGAAGGAAUUUCCCAGCAACCUGCCACAGCAUGGUAACUGGAAAAGCAGUAAGGGAAUGCUCCUCUGUUGGACCAUGGUCAUUUAGAAGGAAAGUCAAGGACUUAUUUCCGAUCUCCUGUUAGAGUGUUCCAACACCCAAUCUCAUUUAUCUUCAUACUGCAGCCAUUUGUAAGAGCAUACACCACAAAGCACCCAACAGCAAAGGAGAACAAAACAGAAGUAAUAACCAGGGGAAAAGGCUGACAUUAACAGGCACAAAUUGCCUUUAAAUCCAUGAUUUCAGAAGGAACUUUUUGGAAUCCUUUGCUUCUUCUGCUAAAGACAGGUCAGAUCGAAAGUAUUUAAUAAAAGCCACAGACUCCUACUUGCUUAAUGUGGGUUUUGUUCAGGACUUCAAAGACCUAAUUGCUCUAAAGAUGUCAGGUAAUUUAAUUUUUCUCAUCUGUCAGGCCUUAGAGGGAUAUUGUCCAUCCUGGAGAAUAAGCAGGACCAGGGUACACAGCUUUCUACAGCCUGACUCAUGAUGACACCAUCACAGUCAGCCAGAUGCUCAAGACUUGCAUUAAAAGGUAAAACAAAGGCUUCUGCUAAUGCAAGAGAUGACAAGGUGUGCAUAUGGAAGGAGAAUCUGCAGAGCUUAACAAGAUAAAGUAAUUUGAAAGCUUUUAUCCUAUUUGGACACACAAAGGCAGCCAGUGGGCCAUGGGGUGGUGGGCAUUCUCACACCAGGAGAUGCAGCACACAUGCAAUGCCUAUGAUCCCACUGCCAAAACACCACCACAGGACACACAAGCCAGUGCACAGCCAGGAGGACCAAAAAAUUCACAGCAAACUUCGAGUGUUUCUUUACUACCCGAAGUGUCUCC